AGCCAAGAUGUCGCACCCAUCUCCUCAAGCGAAGCCUUCCAACCCUAGCAAUCCCCGAGUCUUCUUUGAUGUGGACAUCGGAGGGGAGCGAGUUGGCCGAAUUGUCUUAGAAUUGUUUGCAGAUAUCGUACCUAAAACUGCAGAAAAUUUUCGUGCAUUAUGUACUGGAGAAAAGGGUGUUGGACCCACAACUGGAAAACCUCUCCAUUUCAAAGGAUGCCCUUUCCAUCGAAUUAUUAAGAAAUUCAUGAUUCAGGGUGGAGACUUCUCAAAUCAGAAUGGGACAGGUGGAGAAAGUAUUUAUGGUGAAAAAUUUGAAGAUGAAAAUUUCCAUUAUAAGCAUGAUCAGGAGGGUUUAUUGAGCAUGGCCAAUGCAGGAUGCAAUACAAACGGUUCUCAGUUCUUUAUCACAGCAGUUCCAACUCCUCAUUUGGAUGGGAAGCAUGUGGUAUUUGGCCAAGUAAUUAAAGGAAUGGGUGUGGCAAGGAUGUUGGAAAAUGUAGAUGUGAAUGGUGAAAAACCUGCCAAAUUGUGCGUUAUUGCAGAAUGUGGAGAACUAAAAGAAGGGGAUGACUGGGGAAUAGUCCCAAAAGAUGGCUCUGGUGAUAGUCAUCCAGAUUUUCCUGAGGAUGCAGAUAUUGAUUUAAAAGAUGUGGAUAAAAUUUUAUUGGUAACAGAAGAUUUAAAAAAACAUUGGGAAUACUUUUUUUAAAUCCCAGAACUGGGAGAUGGCCAUAAAGAAAUACGCUAAAGUUUUAAGCUAUGUGGAAAGUUCAAAGGCUGUUCUUGAGAAAGCAGAUGGAUCUAAGCUACAAACUGUGGCUUUAAGCUGUGUACUGAAUAUUGGUGUUUGUAAACUGAAGAUGUCAAACUGGCAGGGAGCAGUUGACAGCUGCUUGGAGGCUCUUGAAAUAGAUCCAUCAAAUAUCAAAGCAUUAUACCGCAGAGCUCAAGGAUGGCAAGGAUUAAAAGAAUACAAUCAAGCACUGGCUGAUCUUAAGAAAGCUCAGGAGAUAGUUCCAGAAGAUAAAGCUAUACAGGCAGAAUUGCUGAAAGUCAAACAGAAGAUAAAGGCACAGAAAGAUAAAGAGAAGGCAGCUUAUGCAAAAAUGUUUGCUUAA